AAGUCACAACAGGAAUGCCUCUUGAUCCACGCCUUUAUUGAUUUCUCAAUCGACCACCUGCUCGUCGCUUCUUUAUUGUCCUCCCUUUGCCGAGCUCUCCUGUCGGGUAGAGAUGCUUCGCCUCUCUCUUCGUCGCUGGUGCGCCGCCGCGGCCAGUGGCUCGUCGACCUCAACGACUCAUGGAUCGCCGCCAGCGACCAUGUUGCCUGACUUCUAUGGCAAGAGCUUCUCUGUCUCACCGCGAGCGUGGGCCCAGAUCACGCGAAAAAACUCAGAGGAGGGAUUUACAAACGAUGCGCGCUACCUUCGCCUCGCCAUCGACUCGGGCGGCUGCCACGGUUACGUCUACAAGUUUUCCUUUGAAAAGAACGAAGAGUUUAAUUGCGAGGGGGAUGUGGCUAUCGCAGAGGUGGACGUGGUAUCGCCCAGCGACGAAGCGUUCACUGGCGCGCAGCCGUCGCCGCGCGUAGUCGUGGACACUCUCAGCGCGUCGAAACUCGAGAACGCAACGCUGGACUACCACAGCGAGCUGAAGGGAUCCGCAUUUGUGGUGGUGGGCAAUGAGUUAGUCGACGAGUCCUGCGCCUGCGCGAUGUCCUUCUCUAUUAGAAAAAAGACACGUCCGUCGGCGGCGUCAUCAAGCGCGCGAGGCGCGUCUUCUGGAGCUGGCGGUGACCACGGAGGGAGCGGCGCCGCUGCUCCGCCGGCAGGUAGCUCUUUGGCGGCGAAUGCGCGUCCGAUUUCCCGCCGUUCUGCAACGCGCGCUACCUCAUGAAAACGAUUUAAAUCACGCGUACCUCGAGCGUGUGUGCGUGUGUGCCACCUGCAGAGUUUGUGCAUCUUCCUCUCGGGUGUCGAUCCCCUCCACCCUCCCCCACGCACAGCGAUGCAGGGAGGCGUCAGUGACAUCCUUAUAUUUCGACAUGUCUCCGAAACGAAAAUACAAACAUAUAAACACACAUACACACUUGUUUUGCGUAUUGGGGGCAUUCGUACACAGUGCUGAGUUACGUGAAACGACGCCGCUCGCACCUCUCGGUGCGUUAUUCCUUCGUUUCCUUUUCUUCGUUAUUCACAUGAUUGCGCACGCACACACACGCACACACACACACACACACGCGCAAGCUGACUCGAGGUUUUGCUCACGUAAGCGUCUGUGUUAUGCUGUGCCUACAUACGAAUGAGAACUCUCUGCCAUCCCCGUUGGCGCACAGGCACUUCUCUUGUAGCACUCCAAUACUCGAACAACCCUUCCCCUCCUCUUCCUGGCUACUUUGUGCCCCUCGCCCUCCCCUCAACCCACCCCUUAUUUCGCUUUCCAUUUUGGCCUCUUGCGAAAG
rnacentral:misc_RNA from 1 species